rnacentral:sRNA from 1 species
GACUGGCCCAAUGUUACUGGGUUAUCAGAACUUAUUAUUAUUAGUGUCACUAAAGUUGCAUAUACCCCUCACGGUUAAAUUUGGCGGGGCUUUA